ACUGACGGUAGCGGUACUGAGCAGAUGUGUUGGUAAGAGAGGACAAGAUAAAUUGUGGAUCUAGCCGUUUUCUCCGUUGUUGCUGUCAUAUUUAAUCACCCGAAAAUGAUUUGUUUUUAACAUUUAGGGUUAUCUUCAGUGUAAUAAUGAUGCAUACCCAUCAUUUGCUCGCACAUGGAAUGUGGAGAGGAUGGACAUAAGUUACUUCAUGAUAAUGGAGUCUGAUCUCGUUAGAAAACUUGUUGAGCGUUCCAAGGGAUGUACUGUGCCAUGAAAACAUGAGUGGUUUUCUGUCCAAACGAAGCAGCUGGAAAUUAGCACGUGGGGAAAUAUUGUUGAGGAUAGAAAUUUAUAAGGUGUAAGCCACUCGAGGAGAUCUGAAUAGUUAAUGAAUGCUGUCGAGUUCUUUAAAAGGUCAGUGGCUGUGGCUUUGGGAGGUGAGAUUAAGAUUCCAGCUUCGGUAUCUUCAGAUCAAAAUGGAGUGGUGUGAAUAGUUGUGGCUUUAUUAACUGACAACCUAGUUAGGGAAAAGGAAGGCUUGUUAAUGCACAGGACUUAUGUGGGUUGGACCUACAAAGUGAGAAAAGCAAUGAGGCUGACAAUACUGUGAACAAUCCCUUCUAGAUGCUCAGUGGUUCAGCUCCAUAUGGCCAUCCUGUGAUUUUUGAGACUGCUGUCGGUGAAGUUUUUUUUAGAAGUGGAACAUUGGAAUUUAGAGCAACGUUAUUCCAUAAAGUUGUGUUACAGAUUCCCCAUGUUUGUCUUAAAAAGCACGUCAUUUUGGAACUUUGGAGAACAUUCAAAAAAAGUGACCGAUGUGCAGCACUGUUAGCAAGACUGGGAACUAAGACUCUACUGGUGAAGAGCUGCCAGUGGGAACUAAUUUGAAGAGGAUAAUAUUGUUGUAUAAAAAAAUUCCUUGAGAAAGUCAUUACUUUUUUCAUGCAACUCAUAUGUUUUAUUAAAUACGUAGUCGUCAGUACCUGUAUCUGUAAGGUUUGAAAAUAGUGUGUGAUGACUCCAGUAUUAGUGGUGGGCAGGAAAUCGCGUAUCUGUUAGAAAUCACAGUGACUGAGAAGUCACAGAUAUCACAGUAGCAAUUUUACAGACUCUAACUGCGAUUUCAGUCACAGUUAGCAGUCGCAAGUAGUAUUCCACAUUCAAAGACGUGAGCCAUCUAUUGGUCGAAUUUAGCACUGCUUUCUGCGAUUUCAGUGACAAGUCGCAACUUCGAGUCGCAAGUAGCAACUAGAAAGCGCGGUUAACAGUGCCAUCUGUUGGCCAAAGUUCGUACUACGUCCAUCUCUGCGAUACGGUAUCGAGUCUAACUGCGAUUUCCGUGACAAGUCGCAAGUAGCAACUAGAAAGCGCGGUUAACAGUGCCAUCUGUGGGUCAAAGUUCGUACUACGCCCAUCUCUGCGAUACACUAUUGAGUCCAACUGCGAUUUCCGUGACAAGUCGCAACUAAGAGUCGCAAGUAGCAACUAAAAAGCGCAGUUAGCACUGCCAUCUGUUGAGCAAAGUUCAUACUACGCUAUUCGCUACCGAGUCAAACUGCGAUUUCUGUGACAAAUCGCAACUAAGAGUCGCAAGUAGCAACUAAAAAGCCCAGUUAGCACUGCCAUCUGUUGAGCAAAGUUCAUACUACACUAUUCGCUACCGAGUCAAACUGCGAUUUCUGUGACAAAUCACAACUAAGAGUCGCAAGUAGCAACUAAAAAGCGCAGUUAACAUACUUUUCCUAGUGUCAUCUGUUGACCGACGUACGUACUUCGUUAUGAGAGCCUUGUGCCUCACGAGAUCGAUGUGCUGUGUGUGCAUAUGAAGGGCUUAUUUCAAUAGUGGUACAAGUCCAUUUUUGUUCAUUUUGAGAUACAGAAUCGUAAAGUUAAAUGAGCGCUGAAAAAUCUGCAGUUGAGAUACCAGAAAUAUUCAAGCAUAUGGCUUCUUGCUAGAGAUGAACCUUUAUUUAUGUUUGUUUGGAUCACUAGUUUCAGAAGCAUUAUAAACAGAAAAGUGGAGGUAAUGGACUUGUACCACUAUUGAAAUAAGCCCUUCAUGUUAUAUGACGACAUGCACAUUCAGCAUCAGUUAUGGUUGGUCAAAUACUGCUGUGACUCUGAAUGUAUUAUAUUAGUAAGAAGCAACAUUGCCUUUUUCUCCUGAAAAUAUCAAGUAACGUAACAAAUGUGUUUGAUUCUGCUUCCAAUAUGACAGUUCUGGUUAAUACUCCACAUGCCUACAGGACUUUGCAAUGUUAACACAGCAGAACUCAGACAUCUGUAUAAGUGUAGAGAAAUGAAAACAGUCAUAUGAAUGCCUCACUUUUGUUCCGACACAGUUCAAGACUCGGGAGAAAAGUUUUACACCUGGUGUUCUACAUGGCAACUUCACACACAAGACCUUUUUGCCGACACUACUACUACCUACAUAAGUAAGCUUUUCCUGUGUUACUUUCAAGUAAUGCACUUAAGCUAUUCCUGAUUUAAAUGGAAGAUCUGUACUUCCCACCUUCAUAUCAACAGCCUCAAAAUGCAUAUUGUAGACUUCGAGAUAUGUUACAGGUCAGUGUCACACCAAGAUUUGGAGAAAGGGGGGGUUGGGAGGGGGGCGGCAUGUCACUCUCCAACAAGUGUUUACCAAUAAGUAAGUGGCGGAAAAUUAUGGGUAUAGGACGGCUUAAACAUGUGGAAAAUGAGAUUUUUAUUAUUCACUGACUGUAUUUGACAUUCAUUAUUCCUUUAAAAUCGCACAACAACUUCAAUAAAACACAGUUUAAUCAUUCACACACUUAUUUCACAAUUAUUUCACUUUUAAACUGCAAAUCCUCUAAGAGCUGUCUUGAAUCUUCACGAGUCUCUCUCAACAGCCUUGAUGUGGAUAGAUACGUACAGCAACCAGUAAUCAGAGUCAGAACUGUGUCUGCAAAAACACAAGGAUUAUUAAGCAAUGUUUGCUGUCAUUGAUUACUAGCAAUAUAAUUGACAGAGUAGAUUGCUAAUAUUUGCUAUAAUGAAUAUCACAUUUGCAAGAACGAUCUCACUGAAGUAAUUAAGUCCAUCGAAACGCUUAGAAACUAACCUCUCGUCUGACGAAAACGGUCUAAAGACGCAGUGGCAAUUUCUUCAGAUCUGUUGACAAUGAUAUUUUGAGUUAUCACUUAACUGAGUGACUGAAAUGUAGUUCAGGUACCUGUGAACAUAACAAUAUGUUAGAAUUCAUUUUCUAAAUACGAACUAUUACGGUACUGUACGGCUACUUACAUAUUAAUUACACUAUUAAUAUUUUCACAGUUGUUUCUUUAAUACAAAAUUAAAGCCAACGGAAGAAAAAACGUAAAACAUACUUGCCAAUGACAGGUUUGUUGAGAUGCAAUUUUCUGUGUUGACAGAUGUAACUUCAUACGGUGGUACGUCGCAGAAGUAGCAGAAAUCGCGGAAGUAGCAGAAAUAAGUGGCGGAGGGAUACACGACCUAUGUUCCUUAACUGCGACAAAUCACAGUUAAUAAUAACAGAUACUGAAAAGUAGCAUUCACAGAAAUCACAGAUAUCGGAAAAUCGCAGUUUAGCCCAUCACUAUCCAGUAUAUGAUGAAGCAAUGUUACUGUUUCAUACCUGGCUCUGGUGCAUGAACUGUUUUUAUUCCUGAAUGCUUUGAUUGGCCUGUCAUUGAUUCUUAAGCUGACAUCUGAUAAAAGAAUUGUUUUACAUGAUGUGGCAUACACAAUGUUACUGUAAGAAUGACUUGUCAUAAGUGUUAUCCAGAUACAAGGUUGAUUUCCUGCUUUACUUGAGCAGUCACCUUUCCUGUUAUAAAUCGCCUGUUUAAAAUAAUGCUUCAUACAACCAAUUUAUGUCUUCAUAGUAUUUGUGAUUUACUGAUUUGUUGUGCGCACAAUAAAAAACAUGACAUGAGCAAA